CCCCUAGACGUUCUGGGCUGCACGCGCGCUACAAUAAUACGCACAGCGAGUAUCACCGAGCUCGAAAGGGCAAGGUAAACAAUAGAAAAGGUACUGUAAUGGUUAUAGAUCCUUGAAAUUAUUGAUCUUCAACGAGGAAUUCCUAGUAAGUAUGUGUCAUCAUCACGCACUGAUUACGUCCCUGCCCUUUGUACACACCGCCCGUCGCUCCUACCGAUUGAGUGAGCCGAUGAAACUGCCGGAUGUGGACUAUUCAUAGUCUGCAGAAGAUAUUUGAAUCGUAGCGCUUAGAGGAAGGAGAAGUCGUAACA
rnacentral:rRNA from 1 species